CCUACGGGGGGCUGCAGUGGGGAAUAUUGGACAAUGGGGGGAACCCUGAUCCAGCCAUGCCGCGUGUGUGAAGAAGGCCCUCGGGUUGUAAAGCACUUUCAGUGAGGAAGAACGCCUGGUGGUUAAUACCCAUCAGGAAAGACAUCACUCACAGAAGAAGCACCGGCUAACUCCGUGCCAGCAGCCGCGGUAAUACGGAGGGUGCGAGCGUUUAUCGGAAUUACUGGGCGUAAAGCGCGCGUAGGUGGCUUGAUAAGCCGGUUGUGAAAGCCCCGGGCUCAACCUGGGAACGGCAUCCGGAACUGUCAAGCUAGAGUGCAGGAGAGGAAGGUAGAAUUCCCGGUGUAGCGGUGAAAUGCGUAGAGAUCGGGAGGAAUACCAGUGGCGAAGGCGGCCUUGUGGACUGACACUGACACUGAGGUGCGAAAGCGUGGGUAGCAAACAGGAUUAGAUACCCCGGUAGUC
rnacentral:rRNA from 1 species